UCCACCGUAGCGUCUAAAUUACUGGGCCGAUUUUAAUGAAUGAGGUGCCAAUUGAUUUAUUGUAAGGGUCCGGGUGACA